CGAUGAUCCCGGAGCUUGCUCUGGGGGAUUAGUGGCGAACGGGUGAGUAACACGUGAGUAACCUGCCCUGGACUCUGGGAUAAGCGUUGGAAACGACGUCUAAUACCGGAUAGGACCUCGGAUCGCAUGAUCUGGGGUGGAAAGUUUUUCGGUCUGGGAUGGACUCGCGGCCUAUCAGCUUGUUGGUGAGGUAAUGGCUCACCAAGGCGUCGACGGGUAGCCGGCCUGAGAGGGUGACCGGCCACACUGGGACUGAGACACGGCCCAGACUCCUACGGGAGGCAGCAGUGGGGAAUAUUGCACAAUGGGCGAAAGCCUGAUGCAGCAACGCCGCGUGCGGGAUGACGGCCUUCGGGUUGUAAACCGCUUUUAGUAGGGAAGAAGGGCUUCGGCUUGACGGUACCUGCAGAAAAAGGACCGGCUAACUACGUGCCAGCAGCCGCGGUAAUACGUAGGGUCCGAGCGUUGUCCGGAAUUAUUGGGCGUAAAGAGCUCGUAGGCGGUUUGUCGCGUCUGCUGUGAAAUCUGGAGGCUCAACCUCCAGCCUGCAGUGGGUACGGGCAGACUAGAGUGCGGUAGGGGAGAAUGGAAUUCCUGGUGUAGCGGUGGAAUGCGCAGAUAUCAGGAGGAACACCGAUGGCGAAGGCAGUUCUCUGGGCCGUAACUGACGCUGAGGAGCGAAAGCGUGGGGAGCGAACAGGAUUAGAUA
rnacentral:rRNA from 1 species